GUUUGUCUGUUAGGUCUCCCCACCACAGAGGAUAUCCUGAUGCUUAAAGAGACAGUACUCUAAUCCUGUUUGUCUGUUAGGUCCCCCCACCACAGAGGAUGUCCUGAGUGCUUAAAGAGAGUACUAUAUCCUGUUUGUCUGUUAGGUCCCCCCACCACAGAGGAUAUUCUGAUGCUUAAAGAGACAGUACUAUAAUCCGUUUGUCUGUUAGGUCCCCCCCACCA
rnacentral:lncRNA from 1 species